GGGGAUUUGGCUCAGUGGUAGAGCGCUUGCCUAGCAAGCGAAAGGCCCUGGGUUCGGUCCCCAGCUCCG
rfam:Rattus norvegicus chromosome 10, whole genome shotgun sequence.